UGUGCGGGUAGGGUCGAAGGGUUCGCCACCCUUUAAAACCGAAGGCGUAAUGCGGGACCAGUAAUCCCAUCAUGUCAUGCUAUGUAAUGAAUGGUCCCUAUGAUAAGAUGAACUCCGCGCCGUGGAGUUUGCAGUGGUUGAGGGUCUAUCGGAGGAUAGAUACCUACAACCUUAAUCGGGAGAACCUGGCCAGGCCCGGAAGGGAGCAACCUGUGCCCGAAUGCAAACGUUCACGGUUUGCGGAGUAGAUUUAUCGUAGGGGUAAAACCUUCAUUGCAUAGCAUGACAUGAUGGGAAGCCGCACA
rnacentral:SRP_RNA from 1 species